CUUCACCGAGCCCAGCCAGAGCGGCUUCUCCGGGUCCCGGCCCUUGCCGUAGGUGGCCAGCAACGCCUGCGCUUC
rnacentral:antisense_RNA from 2 species